rnacentral:rRNA from 1 species
UACGAAGGGGGGCUAGCGUUGCUCGGAAUCACUGGGCGUAAAGGGUGCGUAGGCGGGUCUUUUAAGUCAGGGGUGAAAUCCUGGAGCUCAACUCCAGAACUGCCUUUGAUACUGAAGAUCUUGAGUUCGGGAGAGGUGAGUGGGACUGCGAGUGUAGAGGGUGAAAUUCGUAGAUAUUCGCAAGAACACCAGUGGCGAAGGCGGCUCACUGGCCCGAUACUGACGCUGAGGCACGAA